rnacentral:rRNA from 1 species
CCUACGGGUGACAGCAGUAGGGAAUCUUUCACAAUGGGCGAAGGCCUGAUGGAGCAACGCCGCGUGCAGGAUGAAGGCCUUCGGGUUGUAAACUGCUUUUAUAAGCGAGAAAUAUGAUGGUAACUUAUGAAUAAGGAUCGGCUAACUACGUGCCAGCAGCCGCGGUCAUACGUAGGAUCCGAGCAUUAUCCGGAGUGACUGGGUGUAAAGAGUUGCGUAGGUGGCAUAAUAAGUAGCUAGUGAAAUCUGGUGGCUCAACCAUUCAGACUAUUAGCUAAACUGUUAAGCUCGAGACCGUUAGGGGUAACUGGAAUUUCUAGUGUAGGAGUGAAAUCCGUAGAUAUUAGAAGGAACACCAAUAGCGUAGGCAGGUUGCUGGGACGGUUCUGACACUAAGGCACGAAAGCGUAGGGAGCAAACGGGAUUAGAUACCCGUGUAGUC